rnacentral:tRNA from 1 species
GGAGAGGUGCGAGAGCGGUUUAUUCGGCGCGCCUGGAGAGCGCGUGGGCGCCAAAAGCGUCCCGUGGGUUCGAAUCCCACCCUCUCCG